CCCCUCGGAGCGAGAGGCAGGCAAACCAGAAAGUUCUCGCGGACAACAAGAAAAGAGAGAGCGAGAGAGAAAGAGCGAUGGGCGUGUCCAAGCCCUCUUCUCUGCUCCUGCUGUGGCUUCUGGUCGCCGCCUCUGCAUCCGACGUCGCGCAGCUCGUCGAAUCGAGGACGUUGCCGAGCUUCCCAUCUCAGCAACCUGGGUACUCGAAGAUCCUGGCGACGCUCGGAGUCGUCUGCAAGUGUUGCGACGGCGGCGGAGAGUGUACAGUUACAUGGGAAGGGUCUUGCUCCAAGCUCCAAUGUCUACCGUGGAAACUAGGCUGAGGCUGAGGCGCAUGCCCCCUUUUUUAUCUUUCUCUUCGGUACAUAGUUUGGAUACAUCCCCACUCGUAGAGUUAGACCGACCGCAUGUAUAAAGACACCUCAAUUUUGAUACAGCUAGAGAUGUUCCAAGCUAAGUACCAAGAUGCAAUUUGAUCGUGAAUAAAUAUAAACAGAGUUAGAGCGAGCUCCGAUGAAGUGUCCGGCGACACUAGCUUUUCAUGACACUACCUUUCCCUCGCUGUUGUCAUGAUCAGUUUGCCUCUUUAUAAAUAGAAACCUUUGAUUCACGCCA